rnacentral:lncRNA from 1 species
GUUUAAUCAUAAGAUCAUGCAGUUUGUCACACAAAUGGCAAUACAACAACAAUCACAAUUAUUAUCACCUUCAUAUAAUCACAUCACGUGGAAAUUAGUCAGUGGAGUCACCAAACCCCGAUGAGCCGUCCUCCCACAUGGCUCAUCCUCUCACGUGUGCACCAGGGAGCCGAUCCCCCAUACUGGCCGACCGGUCUAAUCCUCACUUGACCAGCCCUCUCAUUGUUUUUCCAUUCUCUCUUUUCUUUUUCAUACCAACAGGNN